UUUAUAACAUCGGUACUCGUACCAAUGCCCAUCACCAACAAUUCUCAAUACAUCACACACAAACAAUUAAUCACAUUGCCUUUUAUUACCCCUUUUUCAUUAUUAGAAUUAAUCAAUGUGGACAAGUCAACCCAUCACCAAGUCUCAUUACCUCAAACACAUAUUACAAGGAAAUACACGAAUUCCAUACACUUAACAAGGGUUUAGAAAUUCACUUGCCUC
rnacentral:lncRNA from 1 species